rnacentral:tRNA from 1 species
AAAAGAUUAGUUAAACUAACAUCAGUAUGUCAUGCUGGAAUUAGAGGUUUAUCCCUCUAUCUUUUG